CCAAUAGUUUAUGCUAACAAUGUUGCAAUUAAAAAGCUCAUAGUCGAACUUUUCGGGUAUUCAAUUUUGUGUAGUCUUAAUGUAUUAUAAAGCAGUCGAUUUAUCUUAAUUUAUAAAUUUAUUCUGUUGGCAUUCAUUUUUCGAUAGUAAUUUUUUUUCAUUUAACUUUGAGAAAAUGAGAGUGUUCUAAGCAGGCAUUCGUUUAAUUUAAAAGUAUGGAAUGAAAAGUAAUGAUGUUGGCUUAUUUUGAUUGGUUUGAGAGGUUGGUGUAAUGAUUUAUGGACUGUUUCGGAGGUAUUGGUAUUUUGUCGUUAGAAGUGAAAUUCUUGGAUUGAGAGAAGACAAACAACAGCAAAAGCAUUCAUCUAAGAUCUAUUCCUUGGUCAAGAACGUAAGUUGUGGGAUCGAAGACGAUCAGAUACCGUCGUAGUUUCAACUAUAAACAAUAUCAAUUAGGGACUAGUGAAUGUAUCAAUAUACUUGUUGGAACCUUAGGAGAAAUCAAAGUGUUUGGAUUCUGGGGGGAGUAUGGUUGCAAGGUUGGAACUUAAAGGAAUUGACGGAAGGGCACCACAAGAUGUGUAUUCUGUGGCUUAAUUAGACUCAACACAGGAAAAUUUAUCAGGUCUAGACAUAGGAUUUAUUGACAGAUUGAUAGCUCUUUCUUAAUUCUGUGGGUUGUGGUGCAUGGCCGUUCUUAGUUGGUGGAGUGAUUUGUCUGGUUAAUUCCGUUAACGAACGAGACUAUUAACUGUUUAUUCGCGUAAUAAUUAGAUAUGUGUUUUUGCUCCUUUGAGAAACUAGUUUUGUAUAAAAAGCUGGAAGUUGGUAUCAAUAACAGGUCUGUGAUGCCCUUGGACGUUCUGGGCAGCGCACGGGCUACAAUAGGAGAAUUACUAUGCUUUCUAUCCUAAUUCGAAGAGAGUUUAGAAAUCAUGAAAUUGACUUAUAGUUGGGCUUACAUACUGAAAUUUUAAUGUAUAAACAAGGAAUAUCUAGUAAGUCUAGGUCAUUAACGUUGUUUGAAUACGUCCCUGCCUUUUGUACACACCGCCCGUCGCUCCUACCGAUCGGAUAAGUUAGUCAUUGAAUUGGAUGAAGAGUUAACUUACUGAUAGAUAACAUCACAGUUAAAAUUUGCAAACUAGAUUAUUUAGAGGAAGGAGAAGUCGUAACAAGGUUUCCGUAGGUGAAUCUGCAGAAG
rnacentral:rRNA from 1 species